ensembl:lncRNA
UGAACAUAAACUCUAUACAUUUAAUAUACUUUACAUAUUCUAACACAAUUACACAGUCCUAUGAAUGAAAUAAAGAAAAACAGCAUUUUAGUGCAGACUAGAGCUGCUGACUGUCCUGAUGUCAGAUUCUGAUUCUGUCCUGUGUGUGUGUGUGUGUGUGUGUGUCUGCGCUUGCGCAUUUUGCUCCCCAUGUGCCUUCCUUGCCCUUAUUUGGUUAUCUUCCUGUUUCUGCUCCCUGAAUGUUUUCAAUUUGUUUCCAGGUGUGUCUCAUCUUCCCCUGAUUGAGUUCUAUUCUUAAGAAGUGUUUUGUUCAGUAUUGAUCGUCAACUCCUCAGUCUACGUAUGUGAUCCUGCCGGUUUUCCUCGUUGUUUGCAAGAAUAAAUACCUUUUAUGUUAAUCCCCUUGAUUUCUGCACUCCUUCGUCUCCUCGUCUCUGCCACAGAAGCCGCUCGGUUCUCCACCUUAGCCUGCCGAGAUCUCCCUUUCUACAAGUACGACUGGGAAUUCUGCAGGCUCGCCGUGGCAUUGGCAUUAGAUGAUGCCACCAUCAAUUCUCUGUUCUGGCUUGGGGUCAACUACCAUCGCCCCUGGGGAGUGUCCAGAACCAGCGUCGAGCCUGUCGGCCCCCCGAGUCAAGCCCGCCAGCCAUUCCUCAGUCAAGCCCGCCGACCGCCGCAGUGGGGAGGCCAAGGCCAUGGAGGCCGUCCGGUCUUGGCCUUCAGAGUUCCCUGCUCUGCCGUGGCCUCCUGAACUGCCUGCUCCGCCAUGGCCCCCUGAGUUCCAUGCUCUGUCGUGGCCUCCUGAACUGCCUGCUCCGCAAGGCCCCCUGAGUUCCCUGCUCCACCAUGGCCUCCUGAACUGCCUGCUCGCCAUGUCCCCCUGACUUCCCUUCUCCGCCAUGGCCUCCUAAUCUGCCUGCUUGGCCAUGGCUCCCCGUGCUCCCUGCUCCACCAUGGCCUCCUGAACUGCCUGAUCUUCCAUGUCCCCCUGAGUUCCGAACUUCACCAUGGCUUCCUGAACUGCUUGCUCUGCCAUGGCCCCCUAAGUUCCCUACUCCACCAUGGCCUCCUGAACUGCCUGCUCCGCCACGGUCACCAUGGCCUCCUGAACUGCCUGCUCCGCCAUGGCCGCCUGAGUUCCGAACUGCACCAUGGCCUCCUGAACUGCCUGAUCUCCCAUGUCCCCCUGAGUUCCCUACUCCAACAUGGCCUUCUGAGCUGCCUGCACUGCCAUGGUGCCCAGACCUGGUACUGCCAUAUGAGUCUGUCCUGAGGGACCUCCAAGGCACCCCCUCCCACCCUACUGAUGUUAUGUAGUGUGAGGACACGCCUUCCGGAGGGGGGCCUUAUGUCAGACUCUGUUUCUGUCGUGUGUGUGUGUGUGUGUGUGUGUGUGUGUGUGUAUGUGUAUGUAUGUAUGUGUGUGUGUGUGUGUGUGUGUGUGUGUGUGUGUGUGUUUUGCUCCCCAUGUGCCUUCCUUGCCCUUAUUUGGUUAUCUUCCUGUUCCUGCUCCCUGAUUGUUUUCAAUUUGUUUCCAGGUGUGUCUCGUCUUCCCCUGAUUGAAUUCUAUUCUUAAGAAGUGUUUUGUUCUAGUUCUUUGUCCGGUAUUGAUCAUCAACCCUUCAAUCUACAUGUGUGAUCCUGCCUGUGUUCCUCAUUGUUUGUGAGAAUAAAUUCCUUUGAUAUCAAUCCCCUUGGUUUCCGCACUCCUUUGUCUCCUCGUCUCCACCACAGUAGGCGACCCGUGACACCUGAGCAGUUCACUCUGAUAUAUUGGCCAGUGUGGCAGCAUUCGCUGGAGCUCAG